UGUGUGUGCAGUGUUCUGUUCAUACAUAUUAAGGAAAACGGUGAAACGUUUGUUGUUGGCCUUUGAGCAUUGAGGGGGAUUUCCAUUCUCUGACAAAGGACUUGACUUCAGCCAGCCUCCUGCCUUCCCCUUGCCCUGUCCUCACAGCCUCUUCCUCAUCCCAGUUGCCUUUGAGGCAAAGUGGUGCCUCUUCCCUGGCCUCUGAGCAAGUCAGUGUCUUGGGGGCAGGGGUGAGUGGGUCUUACGUCUGCCAGGGCCGUUGAGAAGUGGUCAGUGGUCCCAGCCUGUGUGGUGACAGUGCAGGACAGUGG
rnacentral:lncRNA from 1 species